rnacentral:rRNA from 1 species
UACGGAGGGUGCAAGCGUUAAUCGGAAUUACUGGGCGUAAAGCGUGCGCAGGCGGUUUUGUAAGUCUGUCGUGAAAGCCCCGGGCUCAACCUGGGAAUUGCGUUGGAGACUGCAAGGCUAGAAUCUGGCAGAGGGGGGUAGAAUUCCACGUGUAGCAGUGAAAUGCGUAGAGAUGUGGAGGAACACCGAUGGCGAAGGCAGCCCCCUGGGUCAAGAUUGACGCUCAUGCACGAAAGCGUGGGGAGCAAACAGG